ACGGUUCUCCGCAGUGCUUGCAGCGCUCAGAAGGCUGGAGUGUGUCGAGUCUUACUUGAGUGCGACGGACGUUUAUGACGGAUUACCGGACUUGAGGUCUGCUUUGAGAGAUCUCUUCCACUAGUCCAACACGCCCAUGUCAGAUUGCCUGCUAAGUUCGUGUUCGUAAUUUAUAUAUUAAACUUAGAAUGUGAACUUAAGCAAAUACCAGUAGCAUGGUUUAGAGUUCUUACAGUACAUUGUCU
rnacentral:lncRNA from 1 species